rnacentral:misc_RNA from 1 species
AAGUCGUAACAAGGUUUCCGUAGGUGAACCUGCGGAAGGAUCAUUAUUGAAUUCCAACUGGGUGAGAUUGAUGCUGGCUCUCGAGCAUGUGCACGUCUCAUUCAUUUACCUCUCACCUCUGUGCACCUUUCACAGGACAGCUGGUGGCCAUUGGCUUCAUUGCUCAUGACUACAGGUUGCUUUGUGUGCUUUAUAAACUCAAAAUUAAGUUUAGAAUGUUUACUGUGUAUCCACACAUUUAAAUACAACUUUCAGCAACGGAUCUCUUGGCUCUC